CUCAAAUAAACCUUAAUUUUCAUUUAUAUUUUAGUAAUUCAUAACCCUCCUUUUAUAUUCUACUAAAUAUUUAUGUAUGAAACCAGUUUCAAGAUUCUAAAUGCUGUAUGCAAGAAAAUGAACACAUUGCUAUGAAUAACCAGAUGUUUGUGAGUGACGAUUUGCAGGCUCCCUCUUUGAGCUCUGCUUUAAAGCAAGAGAAAAGUAUAGUAUAGGAGGCCCUGCAGGACAAUCCAUGCUACAGUUCUGUGAUCAUUUUGACAGGGUGUAAUAGUCUAGCAUGAAUGUUACUGAGUGACUAUAUUUGGAUGUACUUGAGGAUUGAUGGUGAUGACAUGCAGUUACUACAUAAUGACCUUCAGUUAGACUGUUUAUGACAGGAGCUGUGAAAAAGCAGGUUGAGUGUGUCUGAACUUCAGGGCAAUUGUCAUUAUUUAGGAGACAGUGACUUUUGAAGAUGUAGCUCUGAACUUCACCCCAGAAAAGUGGGAUUUGCUGAAUGAAUCCCAGAAGAAUCUCUACAGAGAUGUGAUGUGGGAAAUGUCUAUGAAUAUUAAUGCUACAGGAAGAAUAUGGUGUAGCCAACAAAUUAAAGAAGAGGACAAAAAUGGCUCAAGAAAUCUAAGCUGAUCGACACACAAAAGAGAAAGGGAACAUUCCUUAAGUUCAGUGUUUGAGCAAACUACUACAACAAAGAUGUGAUGAAGACAAUUAUUUGAGAAUUGAAGAGCAGCAAUAUAAAUGUAAUGAAGAUGUAGAGACCUGCAGUGAUUUCCAGUCCUUUCAGAAGCAUGAAAUGAGAAAGACCGGAGAGAGACUCUGUCAAUAUGGGCAAUGUGGGGAGGACAGCUCUGAUCUUAGGGAAUAAACUCACCCUGAGAAGAAAAUUUUUUCAGUUAGGAGAAACCUUAUGGAAGACAUUUGUGAAAGGUUCUGCUGAUCAUCCAAAUUUUCUAGACAUAGAAGAUCCCACACAAGGAGAAAUCUUCUGUAUGUGAGCAAUGUGGGAAAUCUACCAGCCAAAGCCAUAGCUUGCAAACGCAUCAAAGAAUUCACAGUGGGAAAACUAUAUAGCAUUCAUGAAUUUAAUGUCACUUGGAUUCAUCAUGGAUCUCAGUUUCCUUCAUCAGAGGGCUAUCAUAUGAUGUGACAACCUGACAAGAAGGUUAAGUGCAAGGAAUGAUGAGAAAUGAAGAGAGACAAGAAGUUCACAAGACCCUGAUUUUACCAUGGUUAUUAUUCAAAUGUCUGUAAUUAGUAGCACUGUUAGUAAACACAUUCAUAAACAGUUAAGUGUAUUCCAAAAUCAUAAAUAUAUAUUAAAUGUAAUGUGUAUAAGUUUCACUGUGUGUAAAAUAUUACUCUCUAAUAUAGGAAAAAUACAUUGAGGCAGUUAUUUCUACACACUUGAUUCCGAGGUAGAAUACUGCUGGUAAAUUCUACAAUGUAAUUCCUAAUUUUACUCCCUUAUCUUACUGUUUUAUCAUUUUUUAAAAUAAAAUGGUUCAGACAUAGGCAAGGUUGUGAUUUCAUGUGAUUUAAGCAGUCCAGGAACCUGAGGCAAGAUGAUUUCAACUUUUCAAUUUAAGCCCAGGCUUGGCAACUUGGAAACACAGAGAAAACCUGUCUGCAAAUACAAAAUGGCACUGUGGAGAUAGCUCAGUAUAAAUAUGCUGAAUUCCAAUCUCAGUCCUGAAAACUUCAAUCAGACCUUGUUUCCUGAUAAUGCAGUAAAACCAUUGGCCUCAUCUCAAACUCUGAGAAGACCUGGCCUGUUCUCACUCAUCCCUCCUCGGAGUUUAGGAAUCAUGUCCAGAGUACAUAGCCUCAAAUCACAGCAGUACAUUUCCACUCUACUAAUGGACAUAGGAGUAAAUUUGCAAAAUUACAGGUAAUCAAUCUUUGUUCUCUAAAGACAAGAGCAACCUCAUUUUAAGUGCAGUAAUGCCCUUGAGAAUUUCAGCAGCCCAUAUGUAAAACAAAAAUGGCAUGUAUCAACUUGUUCAUCAGUUCAGAUUUUAGAUCACUUUCCUUUUCCCUUCAGUCUCAAAUAUUUGGUUUUUCAUUACCAGCUAUUGGGUGAUGCAGGAAGGCUUUUGCUUUGUAAUCUGGAAAGAGGCAUAGGGAGAUCAGGACAUUUAAUUAUAUGGGGUCCUCUUUUAUAUUUUUGCUGCCAUAUUUUGGACUGAGGGUCCCCUGCUGAUGAAGGCCCCUAGAAUUUGGGGCCUGGUUGCUGGGUGACUUCUGCAGACAGCAGGAAUCUAUGCACAAGGAAACAUCCUAAAGGCUAGGAAGUUAAGUUUGGUGCCAGGGGCUCUGAGCUGGAUAAAAAUGGACUAGAUGUUAUCUGUUGAAGUUGGAGUCUUCCCAUGAAACUUGUGAAGUCUGUGACAUGACUUCUGUACUGCCUUCAACCUGAUCCCUUCAGGCCUGUGGCAUGAGGCUUGACUGGCAAUGGAGACCCCUGUGCCCUGUCCUGUUCCUGAUUCAAAUUCAGCAACAUGCAAAGUGGAACACAUUCCACAAAGUCUCCUUUAGCUCUGUGUCUUGACACUAUAUGGUGACUUCAUUUGUGCAUGUGGAGUCUAUAGGUUCAUCUGCAGUUUCUACAUAGAAACAUAUUUUUUCCUUCAUCCCCAGUCAGUUUUUUGUCUCAAAAGUCAGUCCUGAUUGCCCUGCAUUAACUGAAUGUUUUGGCAGCAAAGAGUCCAGUUCACGGAGUGAAGAGUGAACCAAGCAUUUAUAAGAAUACAUGUUUUUCCUGGGAAGGUUCCAGAAAUAUCAAAUGGCACUAUUUUUGUUACUUCAUGGCGUUGUGCUUUCCAGAUGUCUAGGCUGAGAAGCAGCUAUUGGAGUCCGCGGAGGCUUGGUGCAGCCUGCGUGUUUCCAGGAACUCUCCUGAGCAGCUUCUAGAUUCCUGUUCAUGAGCUAUGGCUUGCACUGUUUCCUCCAGACUCCAGGAAAGGGGCUAGAGUGAAUCGCAUACAUCAAUCAUGAUAGUAGUACGCAGACUCCAUGAAGGGCCGAUUCACCAUCUCCCAAGAGAAUGGCAAGAACACGCUGUACCUGCAAAUGAGAAGCCUAAGACAUGGGAACAUGACUCUAUCAUCCUGCAGUGGCACACAGUGAGGAGACAUCAUUGAGAGCUCCUACAAAACUCUCCCGACUUGGAACCAGUAGGGGGUGCACAUUCUGUGGGGGAAAAAUGGCUCCAGGAGCAGGUGCAGGAAAGGAAGUGGCAUGUGAGGGCUUUCAUUUGGCCUCUAGGAUUUUUUUUUCUAUUUUAACAUCCUGUGACCUGAGGAAACCCUGAAAUACAUAGCCUUCAUUUGAUAGUUUACCUAUCCUAGGUGAAGUAAACAUUCUUCAUCAAAAUUAAUUGCAUAAGUACAUAUAUAUGUACUUACUUUAUUCAUCUUUUUUUAGGAAUUUCACUAAAUGGUUAUCCAUUGCCAUCUCAAAAAAACUUAAAAAUCUUCUGCAAUGAACUUUUUUUAAAAUGUCAAAUUAACAGGGCCUGGCAGCUCAUUACUGUAAUCCUAUAAGUUGGGAGGGUGAGGCUGGAGGAUGAAUUAUAAAUGUGAGACCAUCCUAGGUUACAAAGUGAGCCCAAAGCCACCCUGAACUGCAUAGUGGAACCAUGUUUCCAAAAGACAAAAAAAGUCGAUUGAACAUCAUGCAAAAAAAAAAAAUUGCUAGUUUUAUUCUUGUGAUGAAAUGUUCUCAAAUGCUAAAAUAAAAGCUUCAGAGGAGAAAAUUAAAUCUAUGAUGUCCAUGUUUAUAAAUCUCAAAAAUAAAUGGCCCAAUCCUCAUCUUGGAUGGUAAAAUGUAAUGUAAUGCAAUGUAGUGUAAGAAUACCUGAUUCCUAAGCUCAGCCCCAGCCCCAUUAGGAGUCCUUUGCUCAGAGAGGAGAGAGAGGAGGGCAGCUCGAUGAACUCAAGACAAAGCCAAUGAGACAGUGAACACUUUCUGUCCAACAGAACUAGCAGGACUUCAGCCUGCAAUUUCUUUUUGGACUUUACAAGUUAGGAAUUCAUAAAUUAAAGCAUGCUAAACUGUAAACAAUCUCUCCCCUCUCUGUAUCCCCACCUCUCUUUUUCUCUCACUCUCUCUACCCCUCUCAUUUAAAUCAGUUAAAUAAUGGAGAAUAUGUAAGAACAAAUACUGCAAUUUCAUAUAUUCAGAAUUUCCUUUCUAAACUGAUUUCCAUAAAUCUGACCUUACACAUUUAGUUUAUUUUAUAACAGUCUCCUUUCUGAGGUGAUUCUGCAUGUAUCAGUGGCAUAUACUAUAAUUUAAAAAGUAAAAUCUAGAUAUUGGAACUCAGGACCCUGGGAAACCAAGCAAGCAUCUGAAGGUUGUGUUUAUUACAGGCUUUAAUCCAAUACACUGCUUUUAAGUCCAAAGACCAGUCCCACUGGUCCCAGCCUGUUCUGUAGCAGCUGCCCUCUGUAACCCUUAGGACUCUGCUGUGCAUCACUGUGUGAGAGACACAGGGAGUGAGAUCCAUGUGCACUGAGAUAGAAUUACCAUGUAGAGACAAAAAUUGAGCUUUAGGGCACUGAGGGACUGAGCGGCAUUUUGACACAGGUCAGAAGUUGUGCAGAGAAAGAUUGGGGGGGAUUGCUGGUGGGAUUGAUGAAUCCUUGUGUGUUCACAGAAACACACAGAAAUAUGCACAGACACACACACACAGAGACAGGAACACAGACACACACACACACACACACACACACACAAUGACCUUGGACACUUCCUCCUUUGAGGUAGCUGCUUCUUGUCUUAUUGUACAUCUUGACCAGUAUGAGGUGGGCUCCAAUGCACUGUCUCAUUUUCCCACCAUGGUCUGAUUUUCAGAAGGAAUGGGCUAAAAUACACCCCCAGUAAAAGUUCCAUUUCCAGUGUCUGAAUUUUUCAUAUACUUUAUCACUAUGAUAGAAAGUUCAGGAACACAAACACAGAAUGGCAAAAUUUCAGUUACCAUCUCUUCUUGAAGUACAAAAACUCUCAGGAAUCCAAAAUGCAUUAAUAACAGAACUUAUUUAAUAUUAAACAAUAAAGUGCCUGUGCACUGUGGAGGUGGUCACAAAGACAGUGUGCCAAUGAUUCUGCAGGAAUUUCAUAUGGAACCUGCAAUUGCCAAGUUAUCAAUCUUUUCAAAGAAGUGAAUCACUGGCUCAGAUAAGUCAGAAGCUUGAUGCUUAGAAAUAGAAAAUUAUGCACUUGACAUCAGAUAUACCCAUCACAUUAAAUCUUGUUAGACACAUGAUUGGUAAUUAUAAGCUCUAUCAGCACAUCUAUAAGAUAAUCUCUAUGCAAGAGGCACUUUUAUUAGGUAGCGAGCAAUACUAUUACAAAACAGCCAACCUGUAAUCAAUAGAGAGAAAUUUAUUGAACCUGUUAAUUUGGUAGAAACUGAGCUCAGGGACUCACAAGGAACAGGAAUAUAGCUGUGGACAAAAUCAGGAACUUCAAGGGAUGUUUUUCUUAUUUUACUAGAAAUUAAAAAAGAAAAGAAAAAAAAAGUUUUGACUUCUCAAUAAGGGGAAUCUGUAAAAAGAAGAAAAAUGAUUUUCUACCUGACCUAGUCACAGGUUGGGGUGUUCUGCUGUCACUGCACCACAGGAAAUGAAUGUAACAGUCAUAAAAAUAAGGGCUUAGAGAUAGUAAGACUGAAUAGAAAAUGAAAACCCUUCACUUGGAAGAAAGAAAAUAAAUGAGGGUCAGACAGCUACCUGUGAGAAGGUAGUGGCCAGAUAACUGAUUGCCUUUGUUCCUGGCUGCAUUGAUUAAAGAGACAAAAAUGUCAUUUCCCUGGAACAUGUGUCAGGCCCUGAGGUCCCAGCUGAGGAGCCAUUGCCUGCCUGCAAAUUCCACAUCAGCUUCAUUAGAUUUUCUUUCAUGCUGUCAGUGAUUUAUAUCUAAAACUUAUGGGUUGGUUAAAAGCAACCUUUGAUAUGAAGUGAAGUCAACAAUAAGCAACAGGAUAAUGCACUAAUACAAUGACCUUAGAGUGGAGUGUAUUCACAUAUGCCAAAAAUGUUUUCACUCGCAGUCUAAAGUGUUUUUUUUAUCCCACAUUUGAUUGACAGGAAAUGAUCUAGUGGAUCAAGUGCAAGACUCUGUUUCAGCAAUCACUGAGAAACUCAUGGUUGACUAGGUUUAUCUUUAAAAUGUAGGUAUGAUUUAUCACACUGGGUACAGUACAAAGUUUUUCUGAAACAGUUGGACUAUCGAUUUUCCUUCAUCUUUACUUUUUCUCAGAAGCUUGUUACUGUAUAUGUCUAGUUUCUUCAUUAAAGCUGUAAUGGAAUUCUAUUUGCGACACAUAUUAAUUUAGUCAAUGCAAAUUAGCAGUGAGAGACCUUGUAAAAAUCAGGGCAACAAAGGUUAUGGUCUCAUUUCUUUUUCUGUCUUUUUGGAGACAGGGUCUCGUGCCAUGCAGUUCAGGCUGGCCUUGAGCUCACUUUGUAGCUCAGGCUGGUCUCGAACUCACAACAACUCUCUUGCCUCAGCCUCCCAAGUACUGGGAUUACAGGCAUGAGCCACCAUGCCUGACUUAUGGUCUCAUUCUGGACAGCAGUCCCUGCCCAUUCCAAUCUGUCCUGAUCUGACCUGGCCAAAUUAUCUUUUCUGUCUUCAACGGACUGGUUCUUCCAGAGGACAUUCACCUGGGAACUUUUAGGACUCAAAUUCAGGAAAUUGCACUGAGACCUUAAGGUAACCCAGGGCAGCUCUGAAAAGCCAGGAGUAAAAUCCUUAAAUGGAAGUAUGAAUCCUGCUUUGCAGAUGACAUCACAGUAGAGAGAUGGGCCCAGGAGCCAAUCAUUAAUAAUGUUGGGGGUGAGUUAAUACCCAAUCAGGUGGGCCAAGGUAGGAGGGCUCUUCCCUGUCCUGGCGCGGAAAGGCUUACUGUGAGUUUGAUGCUGAGAGCCCAGAACUGGCUGCAUAUCGAGUUUCAGUGAAUUUUUACUGAGCUCUGCAAAGGAUCCUCGGACACCCUCAAGCAUCACAAUGGUAACGAUGGUACUGGCGCUGGGAAUGGGACACAAUUGUGUGAGUUUUGGAAGGGAAUAGGCAGAACCACUGUAAGUCCAGGAGGUCUUUUUGAGCAGCCCUGCGUAAAGCUGUGUUUGAGGCAUGUAAUGGUUUGGGGCAAAUCUGAGUUCUGUCCUCAGAGUGAGAAAAAAUUAUCAUCUGAAUUCCUUCUGUGAGACUGCUACUCACAAUGAUGUUACCACAUAAACAGAACUAGCAAUCUCACCACACUGAGUGUAGAGUUAUUGAUCCAAAAUAAGAAAUUAGAGAUCCUUAAAAUUCAGAAUGCUUCCUACAUGGAUAGUCAGCUGGCCAGAAGCUACACGUGGUUCUGUGGAUUUGAAAUAGAUUUUCACCUAUGUAUCUUCUAUCUAUCUAUCUUUCCUUUUCUCAUUUAUUUUUAUUUUUUAUGUUUGGAUACAGAGCAUUUCUGUGUAGUCUGACCUGGCCUUGAACUCUUGGCCAUGCUCCUCUAUCAGCCUCCAGUGGGAGGAGAUUAUAGUCCUGAUUUUGAGAGAAUCAGAAGACAAUUACUACCUAUGAAGAAUAUCUGUGACUGGAAUUCUUACCAAAACAAAGGAGACAGUGAACUUUGAGAAUGUGGCUGUGAAGUUUACCCUAGAAGAGUGGAAUUUUUUGUCUCCAUUCCAAAAGAAGCUCUACAGAGAUGUGAUGAGGAAAACAUAUAUGAAUAUUACUGCAGUAGAUAUGAUGAAGACAAUUGUAUAAGAUUUGAACAACAGCAAUAUAAAUGUAAUGAAGAUGUAGAGACCUGCAGUGAUUUCCAGUCCUUUCAGAAGCAUGAAAUGAGGAAGAUUACAAAAAUACUCUGUCAAUAUGGACAAUAUGAAGCGGUCAGAUGUGAUCUUAGUGAACAAACUCACACUGGGCAGAAAAUCUUUGUAGGUAAAAGUGUGAAAGCCCACAAAACACCUAACAGUGUUCAAAUCAACAAGACACACCACAGUUUGAGAAACUCGGAUGUACAAAAACACUAUGAAUAUAGUUCUGUUUCUUCAUCCAAUAUUGAAAAUCAUGUUAGAAAAUAUGGUAGAGAGAAACAUCAUAUAACUGAGAAAUGUGCAAAAGCAGUAUCUCACAGUAAUUUCUUUAAAAAACAUAAGAAACUUCACACUGGAAAGCAACCAUGUGAAUGCAAGAAAUGUGGGAAAGCAUUCAGUAAACACAGUAGCUGUCAAAGAAAUAAAAACAGUCACACUGGGGAGAAACCCUAUGCAUGCAAUAAAUGUGGGAAAGCAGUUAGUACAGCCUCUGCUUGCAAAGCACAUGAUAGAACUCAAACUGGGGAGAAACACUUUGUAUGUAAGCAAUGUGGGAAAUCUUUCAGUCAAAAAGUUAGUCUUAUUACAUGAAAGAAUUCACACCGGAGAGAAACACUACGUAUGCAACAAAUGUGGGAAUGCAUUCAGUAAAGCCUCUGCUUGUAAAGCACAUGAUAGAACUCACACUGGAGAGAAACCUUUUGUAUGUAAGCAGUGUGGAAAAAUCUUUCAAUCAAAAAUAUAGUUUUAUUAGACAUGAAAGAAUUCAUACUGGGGAGGAACCCUAUGGAUCCACCUAGUGUGGGAAAGCACUCAGAAGAGCCUCUUUUUUCAAAGCUCAAAAAAGAAUUGACAUGGGUGAAAAACACUUUUUAUCUAACAAAUGUGAGAAAACAUUUAUUAUAGUGACUAGUUGUAAAUUACAUGAUAGAAUUCACUGUAGAGAGAGACCCUAUGUGUGUAUACAGUAUGGAAAAUCUUUCAGACAAAGUGGUAACCUUAGUAUACAUGAAAGAAUUCACACUGGGGAGAAACCCUUUGUAUGUGAGCAGUGUUUCAAAUCUCUCAGUCAGACUUCUACCCUUCUUCAUGAAAAAACUCAAACUGGCUAGAAGCUGUAUGGAUACAACCAUUAUGGUAAAGCAUUCAGUACGAAGAGGUGAUACAUAAACCUUAACUAUCUAUGUAAGCAAUUUGGGAUGUCUUUCAGCUAUAGUAGUAGCUUUUGUGUAUAUAAACCAUUCACUCUGUAGAAAAACCCUAGCUAUGUGAGAAAUGAGUAAGUAGAUUUGUUGACAAAUUUGCCCUUCAUAAACAUAAAUGAUCACACACUGGGGAAAAAACCUAUGAAAAUAAGGAGUGUAGGAAAACUUUCCACAACUAGAGACAUUGUUGCUACAUGACAACUCCAUCUGUGUAGUAAUUCUAUGCAUUUCAACAGUGGUUGACAGGAUUUAGUGCACAAAAAUGCCAUCAAAUAGAGGAGUAAUGCACACAAGGAAAAAACUAUGUAUGUAGGCAGUGUGGAAAAGAUAUGUUGGUUGCAGUGUUUCCCUUUUCCAAACAUAAGAUUCCUUCACACUAGGGAGUAACUGCACAUAAGAAAUAUUUGGAAAAAGUUGAGGUGACAUAGGUGCUUACUUUCUGAGUGAUGUCAUAUUGUGGCCUGAGCCUAUGUAUGCAAUGUGGGAAAGCAUUCAGUAUAAAUGGUAAUUGUCAAUCCUGUGAAAAUAAUAAUAAAAUGAAAUCAUGUACAUAAGUGACCAUUUUGAAAAUAAUUCAUAAAUUACUCAUGGAGAGGAGAGCUAUAAAAAAUAAUAUAAAAUUAGUGCUGUAAAUACAUGUUCACUGAUUUCUUUUGAAAACACCCUCCAGCACAGUUAUCCAAAAAUGUAUUCUUUCUUCUUUUACAAAUCAAACAAAUAUCUGAUCUGUUUUUGUAGUCUUAAUAAAAAGUCCUGUGUUUAAAGGAAA